rnacentral:misc_RNA from 1 species
UACGAAGGGGGCUAGCGUUGUUCGGAAUUACUGGGCGUAAAGCGCGCGUAGGCGGUGUUCCAAGUCAGAGGUGAAAUCCCGGAGCUCAACUUCGGAAUUGCCUUUGAAACGGGGACACUCGAGUCCGAGAGAGGAUGGCGGAAUUCCUAGUGUAGAGGUGAAAUUCGUAGAUAUUAGGAAGAACACCGGUGGCGAAGGCGGCCAUCUGGCUCGGUACUGACGUUGAGGCACGAAAGCGUGGGGAGCAAACAGG